UACGUAGGUGGCAAGCGUUGUCCGGAUUUACUGGGCGUAAAGCGCGCGCAGGCGGACUGAUCAGUCUGGGGUGAAAUCUCCCGGCUCAACUGGGAGCGGUCCCUGGAUACUGUCAGUCUUGAGAGACCUAGAGGAGAGCUGAAUUCCCGGUGUAGUGGCGGAAUGCGUAGAUAUCGGGAAGAACACCAGUGGCGAAAGCGGCUCUCUGGGGGUUUUCUGACGCUGAGGCGCGAAAGCGUGGGGAGCGAACCGG
rnacentral:rRNA from 1 species